UCGAUUUCGCAGAGCUGCUGCUCCCAAUUCACUCUGAACUAAUUCUCCCGAUCCACCAACUUGAUCACAUGGAGUAUCUCUCCGUCUCUGUGGUAACAUGAAGGAGAGUUAAUCUGCUCCAAGAAACCAAUACUCGCUCUCGAGCCUACGGCAGGUGGUUGCAUAAAGAUCUGGUUCUGCUGGUGUCCUAGCAGCUAUCACUCAAUUUUGCCACAGCACCAAGAGCUAAGGCCAGCAACGAGUCUUGCCGAUGCGCACAGGAUCAGAGAUGGAAGUGGACGAGAAGGGCAGGAGCAUCUGAUUUGCAUCACAAGCCUGGGCCCUCUUUACGACGCGUAUCUCUCUCUCUCUCUCUCUCUCUCUCUCACUCAUGGUUACGAUAAGAAACACCUGCAAGUUUAAUAAAUAUGACAUUAAUCUUGCAAACUGAUCGAGCAGCAAAACCUACCGCUUGUUCAUUUGUACACCUCGGUGUCCCCAGGAUCUCCAAGCCUCAGUCUUACUUCGCUUUAUGCCUCGUAUUGCGUAAGUAAGAUCUACUCAUAAGUAUGGAUGCAGGUGGAUAUUCAAUGGUGUUUUGCUAGGUCAGCCGAUUAGUUGCGAUGACAUACCACUUUAAUUAUUUUUUAAAAAAAUUAAUUAUAUAGAAUAUCAUUGUAGUUCAUUUUAUCAAAUUUGUAGAUCAACCUAAUAACUCAAAAUUUUUUAUGACUGGCAUCCCUUAAUUGCAUGUUUCAGGUAUGGGCUCUUAAACAUGAUUGAUAUAACAGAUUCGAUAGAACCCAAUCAUAAUUGAUACGGAUAUACUUCUCUAACUUCAGUAUCUCCAAUUAGAUUAUUUGUCCAGGACAAGGAAGAAGCGAAAACUUUAGAGUUCCAGCCAACAUGAGCCUAUCGAAGGCCAUUGGGGUAGUUAACGGCAUCAAUGAGUUUGGUAAUUUUUUUCAAUUGCUCAGAUCUGCUGUCUCGUAUAUGCGUUCCCAGUGGAAUGGGUCACAAGAGGAAAAACUUGAAGAAGAUUAUGUACUGCAGUUGCAGAGUGACCUUCGAUGCCUACGUGAUAUUCUACCAGCAAUGUACAACCUUAUUGAUAGAGCAGAGUGGAAGAGCCAUGUACUCGGUGUUGAACAGCUCCUUCCAAAUCUCAAGGAUGCAGUGUAUAAUGCAGAGGACCUUCUGGAUGAGUUCAGAUGGUAUGAGCUGAAGGUGGAAAUUGAGGGUAAUGCAACCCAGCUGUCUCCUUUCAUUGACUUCUUUCAUAACGUCACUCAUGGAAGCUUCAACAAAGUGGCUGAUAUCCAAAAAAGGCUAAGUAAUCUGUCUAGCCAGCUUGAGAAGAUGGGGUUGCAUGCAGCAACUCCACGGUUUGACAAAUCUCUCAGGCCAGUAACGACUUCUUUCCGCACUGAGCCCAAGAUAUUUGGUCGUCAAAAGGAAUUGAAGGAGGUGAUAAGAUUGCUUCGUGUACCGAACUGCAGUAGCAGGUCUUUUCCGAAACGGAGGAGAACUUCUAAUGCAGCCAAUAAUGACUGUAUGACAACAUUUAUUCCUGUUUUGCCAAUUGUUGGAAUCGGGGGUGUUGGAAAUACUACAGUGGCUCAAGAGAUCACCACACUUCAAAGGGUCAAAUACCACUUUGACAAAAUCAUAUGGAUUUGUAUCUCAGAUGAAUUUGAUGAGGAGAGGUUCACUAAAGUUCUGAUAAAAUCUCUAUCAGGCAAAGAGGCAACGGCUGAUAAUUUAGAUGAUCUUCAACAAGUUCUUGCUGGUGAAGUUGGAAAAAAGAGGUUCUUGCUAAUCCUUGAUGACAUUUGGCCUGAUGUCUUGAAGGAUGAUGGGCGUCGUUGGAGGAAAUUUUGUGGACCUUUCACAAAUGUACUUCGAGGAAGUGUGAUGUUAGUGACCACUAGGUUUCCAGAGGUUGCUGAUAUAGUGGGCACAAUGGACCCCUUUACAUUGGAAGGCUUGAAAGAUGAUGUAUUUUGGGAUUUUUUCAUACUCUGUGUGUUUGGGUCUGAGGAUUAUCCCAUUGAUCCCCAGUUAGAACAGAUUGGUAGAAGCAUACUUCCAAAGUUGAAAGGCACUCCUCUAGCUGCCAAGACUAUUGGAAGGCUAUUGAGGAAGAGCCUUAACCCUGCACACUGGAAUGAUAUACUAAACAGUGAAUUGUGGCAGCUUAGGCAACAGGAGACUGACAUUUUGCCAGCUCUUCGGUUGAGCUACAUGUAUUUGCCAGCUCUUCGGUUGAGCUACAUGUAUUUGUUAGACUUGAUCUCCCGCUUUGGGCCAUCGGAUCCCAACGGACCCGAUGACCCAACUCACCCCGCGCCCUGAUCGGGGGCGUUCCAGCCGUACCCUAGCUGGUGGGCCCCCGUCGCGCCGCGCAAUAUAAAAGGGGGUGGGGGCCAGCGGCUCGCAUUACGAAGUUGACCGGCCGCCGCCACCCCACCCACAAGAUCCUACCCGAUCUAAGUGAAGCGCGGCAAGCGGCGGGAAGUUCCUCCGGCAUUGACCUCGACGCCCCUGCACCGACUCCGAGCUCGCGGAUACGACCACACCGACGACCACCGGGACCCGUACGCCUACGGCCGAACCACUCCCAUCCCCGCACUACACCACCAAUGGCGGGCACGUCGGCUUCCGCUUCCGCCCUAGGGCACGAGGGAGGAGUAUCAAUGAUGUUUUCCAUCAACGAUAUUCCAAUAUUAAAGGGAGAUAAUUACAAUGAAUGGUACAGAAAGCUGGAUCUCUAUUUCAUCAUAGGUGAAUUAGAUUGGGUCCUAGCUACACCGACUCCUACAGAGCCUGUGCUUCCUGAAAGGGAGGACACAGACACAGAUGCUUCUUGGAAGCAAACAGAGCUUGCUUACAAGAAAGCAAAAGCAGAAUAUGAGAGGCUGUAUGCAAAAUGGCUCCCUGCCAACAAGAAAUGUUUGGCAGUGGUAAAGAAUACGAUUGAGCCUGCAAUUAUGGGCUCAAUCCCAGACUGUGCCACCGUCAUAGAGUAUCUUGAAAAAUUAAAGAACCAAUACACUGGUUCUUCAAAGACUUAUGCAACCCAGUUGAUCAAACAACUGGUUUCAGAGAGAUACACUGGCGGUGGCAUUAGAGAACACAUUCAUCGCAUGGUCAACCUGAAUAACAAGCUAAAGUCAUUGGACCUUGCCUUCAAGGAGGAUCACAUUGUCCAUCUGGUCUUUGCUUCGUUACCAAAAGAGUUUGACACUUUUGUUGUCAAUUACAACACCCAACCACAAACUUGGGACAUAGAAAAGACUAUUGCGAUGUGUGUUCAGGAGGAGGAAAGGAUCAGGUCCACCACUGGAGGAUCCUUAAACUAUGUGAACAAGAAGAAGCAUGCCAACUUUAAAGGCAAUUUUUCAUCUUCUUCUUCAUCCUCCUCUAAAGGUAAAAACUCUCAACAGCACAGACCGCAGGAGGGACACGCUCUAGUAGAUAAGGAUCAAUGUCUCUACUGCAAAGAGAGGGGUCACUACAAGAAGAACUGUCACAAAUACUUAAAGAUGGUCAUGGAAAAGAGAGGGAUUCCGUUCGACGAGAACCACUCAAAGAAGCGAAAAGCAAGUUAGAGUGGCGAAUGGAGAUCAGGCAGACGUUGAAGCAGUAGGAGACGUUCAUUUGGAACUCGACACUGGCUUCAUUAUUGUACUUAGAGAUGUUUUAUUUGUUCCUUCUUUACACAGAAACUUAAUUAGUGUGUCUCGCCUGGAUACAGAUGGUUAUUCUUGUCUAUUUGGAGAUGGGAAAUGUUUGAUCGAAUGUAAUGAUACAGUAAUUUCCACUGCAUUUAGAAAGAAUGAUCUUUAUUUGAUAUCGUUACGCGAAAGUGUUAAUUCCGUAUGCGAUAACAGUGCGAAUGUAUCCUCGC